rnacentral:rRNA from 1 species
CCUACGGGCGGCAGCAGUGGGGAAUAUUGCACAAUGGGGGAAACCCUGAUGCAGCGACGCCGCGUGAGUGAAGAAGUAUUUCGGUAUUUAAAACUCUAUCAGCAGGGAAGAAAAUGACGGUACCUGAUUAAGAAGCCCCGGCGAACUACGUGCCAGCAGCCGCGGUACUACGUAGGGGGCAAGCGUUAUCCGGAUUUACUGGGUGUAAAGGGAGCGUAGUCGGCAGCACAAGUCUGGAGUGAAAUGCCGGGGCUUAACCCCGGAACUGCUGUUGAAACUGGGCAGCUAGAGUGCAGGAGAGGUGAGUGGAAUUCCUAGUGUAGCGGUGAAAUGCGUAGAUAUUAGGAGGAACACCAGUGGCGAAGGCGGCUUACUGGACUGUAACUGACGUUGAGGCUCGAAAGCGUGGGGAGCAAACAGGAUUAGAUACCCCGGUAGUC